UACGAAGGGUGCAAGCGUUACUCGGAAUUACUGGGCGUAAAGCGUGCGUAGGCGGUUCGUUAAGUCCGUUGUGAAAGCCCUGGGCUCAACCUGGGAAUUGCAGUGGAUACUGGCGAGCUAGAGUACGGUAGAGGAUGGUGGAAUUCCCGGUGUAGCGGUGAAAUUCGUAGAUAUCGGGAGGAACACCAGUGGCGAAGGCGGCGACCUGGGCCAAUAUUGACGCUGAGGUGCGAAAGCGUGGGGAGCAAACAGG
rnacentral:rRNA from 1 species